UUCUCAUUGCGAAUAUUUUCCGCGGGAAUUUUUUUUACGAGCAGACAAUGGAAGCUUCUUCCGGAGGAUUUAUUGGGAACAAUAUAUAGGCACGCGACUGAUGCCUAACCUUUCCCAAUCCGUUAGUUGCUGUCCCCUUGACAAUUGCAUAACAUCUUGCCGAAACCCGUCCAAUGAAAAUCUUCCUCAAUGGCGUGAAAGAAAUUUUUCAAAAAAAAAUUUGACCUCUAAGAGGAAAUUCAAGUGAAAUGGUAUCACAUGUUUGAACUUGAAAAACACCUGAGUACUUUGCCUUUCCGGCUUAGACGGUCUGGUGUAUUAUGACCAGGUAGUGGGGGAAAACAAGAAGUUGAGAUUAUUGCGACAAGUUCAAAAGUAAAUAUUGCGAAAGUUGAGAGAAUAGAGAAUGAGACAUAAUAAAAUGAACUUUUGGAUUUGUUCUCGAAUCAUCUACAGAGCGCAUGAUACUUUGAGCCGACGGGCUAUUUUUUGCUGUCUGAGUGUUAUCAGAGGUGGGAACAGUGACUUUUGAUUGAUAUUGCAGGCCGUCUUGCAGAAAUACGAAAUGAGAAUUUGUAAUUUUUGUCGUGGCGAGGAGGAGGCAUCUUUACGCAAUGAUUGAAUUUCUUAUUUGGAUGCUCAAGGAAUUUUCCAUGCUAUAUCAACGAGCUGAGCCACUAAAUUCAAUUACAGCGUGAGAAUUUGGCUUAGCGUCACGAUGUCUACAGAUGAUCAAGACACAUUAUCACAUUAUUUUUGCCAUUCGCACAAUGUUGUAUUAAUUUGAAGUGAAACAAAUCCUUUGUUAUUUUCUUCUUGUUUUAAAUUAAUCCUGAUUUUUUUUUGUCAAACAAUCUUUCAGUUAUUUAAUCGUAUUAUAGUUAACUUAAAUUAUUCUCUUUAUGUUACACAUAAUGUUGUUUACGAUAGAAAUAGAGUUUAUAUCUUGAGA